AUUGAACGCUGGCGGCAUGCUUUACACAUGCAAGUCGAACGGUAACAGGCCUUCGGGUGCUGACGAGUGUCGAACGGGUGAGUAAUGCAUCGGAACGUGCCCAGAGGUUGGGGAUAACGCAGCGAAAGCUGUGCUAAUACCGCAUGUGAUCUGAGGAUGAAAGCGGGGGACCAGGCAGCAAUGUUUGGCCUCGCGCCUUUGGAGCGGCCGAUGUCAGACUAGGUAGUUGGUGAGGUAAAGGCCUACCAAGCCGACGAUCUGUAGCUGGUCUGAGAGGACGACCAGCCACACUGGGACUGAGACACGGCCCAGACUCCUACGGGAGGCAGCAGUGGGGAAUUUUGGGCAAUGGGCGCAAGCCUGAUCCAGCAAUGCCGCGUGCGGGAAGAAGGCCUUCGGGUUGUAAACCGCUUUUGUACGGAACGAAAAGGCUCUGGCUAAUACCUGGGGCUGAUGACGGUACCGUAAGAAUAAGCAACGGCUAACUACGUG
rnacentral:rRNA from 1 species